rnacentral:rRNA from 1 species
GACGAACGCUGGCGGCGUGCCUAAUACAUGCAAGUUGAGCGCUGAAGGUUGGUACUUGUACCGACUGGAUGAGCAGCGAACGGGUGAGUAACGCGUGGGGAAUCUGCCUUUGAGCGGGGGACAACAUUUGGAAACGAAUGCUAAUACCGCAUAAAAACUUUAAACACAAGUUUUAAGUUUGAAAGAUGCAAUUGCAUCACUCAAAGAUGAUCCCGCGUUGUAUUAGCUAGUUGGUGAGGUAAAGGCUCACCAAGGCGAUGAUACAUAGCCGACCUGAGAGGGUGAUCGGCCACAUUGGGACUGAGACACGGCCCAAACUCUUACGGGAGGCAGCAGUAGGGAAUCUUCGGCAAUGGACGAAAGUCUGACCGAGCAACGCCGCGUGAGUGAAGAAGGUUUUCGGAUCGUAAAACUCUGUUGGUAGAGAAGAACGUUGGUGAGAGUGGAAAGCUCAUCAAGUGACGGUAACUACCCAGAAAGGGACGGCUAACUACGUG